rnacentral:rRNA from 1 species
AGUGAACGCUGGCGGUAGGCCUAACACAUGCAAGUCGAACGGCAGCACAGUAAGAGCUUGCUCUUACGGGUGGCGAGUGUCGGACGGGUGAGGAAUACAGCGGAAUCUACUUUUUCGUGGGGGAUAACGUAGGGAAACUUACGCUAAUACCGCAUACGACCUACGGGUGAAAGCAGGGGAUCUUCUGACCUUGCGCGAUUGUAUGAGCCGAUGUCGGAUUAGCUAGUUGGCGGGGUAAAGACCAACCAAGGCGACGAUCCGUAGCUGGUCUGAGGAUGAUCAGCCACACUGGAACUGAGACACGGUCCAGACACCUAAGGGAGGAAGCAGUGGGGAAUAUUGGACAAGGGGCGCAAGCCUGAUCCAGCCAUACCGCGUGGGUGAAGAAGGACUUCGGGUUGUAAAGCCAUUUUGUUGGGAAAGAAAAGCAGCAGGUUAAUACCCCGCUGUUCUGACGGUACCAAAAGAAUAAGCACCGGCUAACUUCGUG